AAAUUUGUCUUAAAUUCUUCAUUCCUGAGAUAUGGUAGCUCAAACAUCGCUUACCGCGACUGAUUACACGAGGCCCUGUUCUCCAGGAAGAUCUGUCAGAGUCUUUUAAACUGUAGAUUCUUACUAUCAAAAAACUGAAGCUUUUUUUACCAGUAACUGUCCAUUGUGUAA